rnacentral:tRNA from 1 species
GCUCUAUAGUAUAGUGAUUUAUGUAUUUCCUUGGCAAGCAAAAUGUUGCUGGUUCAAUUCCAGCCAGAGACA